UACGGGGAGGAUGCAGCUGUUAGUCGAUUCACUGGGUUUAAAGGGUGCGUAGGUGGGUUGGUAAGUCCGUGGUGAAAUCCCCAAGCUUAACUUGGGAACUGCCGUGGAUACUAUCAAUCUUGAAUAUCGUGGAGGUAAGCGGAAUAUGUCAUGUAGCGGUGAAAUGCUUAGAUAUGACAUAGAACACCGAUAGCGGAGGCAGCUUGCUACACGAUCAUUGACACUGAGGCACGAAAGCGUGGGAGCAACAGG
rnacentral:rRNA from 1 species